rnacentral:rRNA from 1 species
GACGAACGCUGGCGGCGUGCUUAACACAUGCAAGUCGAACGGAAGGGCCCGGCGUUUGUGUGUUGCUCGAUUGGCGAACGGGGGAGUAACACGUGAGUAACCUGCCCUUAACUUUGGGAUAACUUCAGGGAAAUGGGGCUAUUACCGGAGAGGAGCUCUUGCUGCAUGGGGGGGGUUGGAAAGUGUCGGCGGUUGUGGAUGGACUCGCGGCUUAUCAGCUAGUUGGUGAGGUAGUGGUUUACCACGGCUUUGACGGGUAGCCGACAUGAGAGGGUGACCGGGGACAAUGGGCCUGAGAUACGGAGCAGAAUCGUACGGGACGCAGCAGUCGGGAACCUUGCGGAAUGGCGCGACGUGUGAUGCAGCAACGCCGCGUGCGGGAUGCUGGCCUUCGGGUUGUAAACAGCUUUCGAAGGUGCCGAAGCGUGCGUGACGGUAAUGAGUAAGGAAGCCCCGGCUAACUACGUG